UCAGCUUGUUGGUGAGGUAGUGGCUCACCAAGGCGACGACGGGUAGCCGGCCUGAGAGGGCGACCGGCCACACUGGGACUGAGACACGGCCCAGACUCCUACGGGAGGCAGCAGUGGGGAAUAUUGCACAAUGGGCGAAAGCCUGAUGCAGCGACGCCGCGUGAGGGAUGACGGCCUUCGGGUUGUAAACCUCUUUCAGCAGGGAAGAAGCGAAAGUGACGGUACCUGCAGAAGAAGCGCCGGCUAACUACGUGCCAGCAGCCGCGGUAAUACGUAGGGCGCAAGCGUUGUCCGGAAUUAUUGGGCGUAAAGAGCUCGUAGGCGGCUUGUCACGUCGAUUGUGAAAGCCCGGGGCUUAACUCCGGGUCUGCAGUCGAUACGGGCUAGCUAGAGUGUGGUAGGGGAGAUCGGAAUUCCUGGUGUAGCGGUGAAAUGCGCAGAUAUCAGGAGGAACACCGGUGGCGAAGGCGGAUCUCUGGGCCAUUACUGACGCUGAGGAGCGAAAGCGUGGGGAGCGAACAGGAUUAGAUACCCUGGUAGUCCACGCCGUAAACGGUGGGAACUAGGUGUUGGCGACAUUCCACGUCGUCGGUGCCGCAGCUAACGCAUUAAGUUCCCCGCC
rnacentral:rRNA from 1 species